rnacentral:rRNA from 1 species
CAAUAGCGUAUAUUAAAGUUGUUGCAGUUAAAAAGCUCGUAGUUGGAUUUCGGGGUGGCCUGCCUGGUCCACCGCAAGGUGAGUACUGGUCAGCCGCCCUUCCUCUCGAAAGCCCCGACUGCUCUUCAUUGCAGUGGUCGGGUAGUUCGGGACGUUUACUUUGAAAAAAUUAGAGUGUUCAAGGCAGGCUAUCGCCUGAAUACAUUAGCAUGGAAUAAUGGAAGAGGACCUCGGUCCUAUUUUGUUGGUUUCUAGGGCCGAAGUAAUGAUUAAGAGGGACAGUUGGGGGCAUUCGUAUUUAAUUGUCAGAGGUGAAAUUCUUGGAUUUAUGAAAGACGAACUAGUGCGAAAGCAUUUGCCAAGGAUGUUUUCACUAA